rnacentral:rRNA from 1 species
AUUGAACGCUGGCGGCAGGCCUAACACAUGCAAGUCGAGCGAGCGGCGGACGGGUGAGUAAUGUCUGGGAAACUGCCUGAUGGAGGGGGAUAACUACUGGAAACGGUAGCUACUACAGCAUACCAUCAGAUGUGCCCAGAUGGGAGUAGCUAGUAGGUGGGGUAACGGCUCACCUAGGCGACGAUCCCUAGCUGGUCUGAGAGGAUGACCAGCCACACUGGAACUGUGACACGGUCCAUGCUCCUACGGGAUGCAGCAGUGGGGAAUAUUGCACAGUGGGCUCAAGCCUGAUGCAGCCAUGCCGCGUGUGUGAAGAAGGCCUUCGGGUUGUAAAGCACUUUCAGCGGGGAGGCGUUACCCGCAGAAGAAGUACCGGCUAACUCCGUGCCAGCCGCCGCGGUAAUUC